CAUUGUAUGAGUAAAUACAUUGCAAAAGAGUAAAGCACAGUCCAGUGCUCACACGCAACAGGGCUGCUGACUGCUGUGCAAACAUUUUAGAUCCUCUUUUUGUCUGAUUUUUACUCCGAUUUUUCAGCAAUUUCUAAAGAAGCAAAAAAGAUGAAUUAUCUAGUACUGGAAAACUAUAUUGGUGGGAAGUUUGUACCAUGCUCCAAACUUAUAGAUUCUUACGACCCGUCGACUGGAGAGGUUUAUUGCAAAGUUCCAGAAAGUGGACCAGAAGAGGUGGACGCUGCAGUGAGGGCAGCCAAAGAGGCCUUUCCUGAUUGGUCAGCUAAGAGCCCAGCUGAGAGGUCUCAAGUGAUGAAUAAGCUGGCAGACCUGAUAGAGUCGCAUCUGGAAGAAUUUGCCCAGGCUGAGUCUAAAGACCAGGGGAAGACUAUAACUUUUGCCCGAACUGUUGACAUUCCACGAGCAGCAUACAACUUCCGUUACUUUGCUUCAUCUGUCCUACAUCAUACAAAUGACUGCAGUCAAAUGGAUCACAUGGACUGUCUCAACUACACAUUACGCUGUCCUGUGGGAGUGGCUGGUCUUAUAAGCCCAUGGAACCUGCCGCUGUACCUCCUGACCUGGAAGAUUGCCCCUGCUGUAGCUACAGGCAACACUGUGGUGGCCAAGCCCAGUGAAAUGACUUCAGUCACUGCCUGGAUGAUGUGUCGGCUAUUGGAGGAAGCUGGUUUUCCACCAGGUGUGGUUAACAUUGUAUUUGGUACGGGCCCGCAUGCGGGGGAUGCAUUGGUGUCCCACCCUGAUGUGCCAUUGAUCUCAUUUACGGGGAGCACAGCUACAGCGAGACUGAUAACUGAACGUAGUGCGCCGUUCUGUAAGAAGCUUUCUUUGGAGCUUGGUGGGAAAAACCCUGCUAUCAUAUUUGCUGAUGCUGACAUGGAGCAAUGCAUCAGCACUACUGUACGAUCAAGCUUCUCUAAUCAGGGAGAGAUUUGUCUGUGUACCAGCAGAAUCUUUGUUGAACGGAGCAUUUACCCAGAAUUCCUCACUCGUUUUGUGGAGGCGACUCGUCAGUGGAAAACUGGAGUGCCCUCUGACCCCUCCAACAACAACGGAGCGCUUAUCAGCAAAGAGCACCUACAGAAGGUUAAUGGUUAUGUGGCUUUGGCGCUGGCAGAGGGUGCCAAGGUAUAUUGCGGGGAGGGUGUGGACAAACUUACCCUUCCACAGCGGAAUGCAGGUGGCUAUUUCAUGUUGCCAACCAUCAUUUCUGAGGUUACCGACUCUUCCGCAUUGAUGCAGGAAGAGAUAUUUGGUCCCGUAACCUGUGUGACACCCUUCGAUGAAGAGGAGGAAGUGAUAUCAAGAGCCAACGGUGUACGCUAUGGUUUAGCCGCCACGGUAUGGUCCCGAGAUGUGGGACGUGUGCACAGGGUUGCUAGGAAACUGCAGGCUGGGUUGGUGUGGGCCAACUGCUGGCUGGUCAGAGAUUUAAAUCUGCCAUUUGGCGGCAUGAAACAAUCUGGGAUUGGCAGAGAGGGGGCAAAGACUCGUACGACUUCUUCACAGAGGUUAAAGCAGUCACCAUCAAACACUGAGUAGUACUCAAAAAUAGAGUACACACUCAAGACGAAGUAAGAUGAGUAAGUCUCUGUGUGAUUCAUGUGUCAUUUCAAGUUGGUUUACAAAUUAUAUAGAGGAAGCAAUCGUUAUCAUCUUUGUUUAGCAAGAUUCUGAAUAAAGUUCAUGAGUCAGAAUCACAAAAUCUAAGUACUUUAUUAUGUUUUGUUUCCUUGUUAAGUGUGUUAUAGUCUCAAUGUUGUUGUUUUUUUCAUUCAAUUCACAGGCAACUAUAAGUAGGUUAAUUACCCUGAAAAGUGAAAGCACUGUUUGGCACAUUUGGGCUUUUAAAAUAAUGUCAAACUAAAUAUGUCUGAUGUUUCACUUAAAAUACUUUUGAAUAAAAUUAUUUUGAAAACAAUAAAAGCAUAGAGCAAUUAAAUCAAAAUAUCAAGCAUAGCUUUUCUUGGAAGAAUUUAUUGAGAAAUGUUUGAGUUCAUGUUGAAAGUUUAGACUUUUGAUUGACACUUUACUUUGAACACAGUUCGAGACAUAUAGUUCACCCAAAAAUGAAAAUUCUCUCAUCAUUCACUCACCCUCAUGCCAUCUCAGAUGUGUACUGACUUGUCUUUUGCUGAAAACAAACAAAGAUUUUUAGGAGAAUCUCUGUAGGUUCAUACAAUGCAGGUGAAUGGUGGCCAGAAUUCUGAAGGCCCAAAAGCAUAUAAAGGCAGCAUAAAAAAUGCAAAUGGCCAAAUAACAAAAGAAGAAUGUAGAAGUGAAAGUGAAAGUAGAGAUUCAUAAUAAAAAAGUACUUCCAUCUUGAUCUGUUUCUCAUCCACACCUAUCAUAUCACUUCU